GGUUGCAAUCAUACCAGCACUAAUGCACUGGAUCCCAUCAGAACUCUGCAGUUAAUCGUGCUUGGGCGAGAGUAGUACUAGGAUGGGUGACCCCCUGGGAAGUCCUCGUGUUGCAACCC
rnacentral:rRNA from 1 species